AUUGUACUCCUUCCGUUCGAAAUUACUUGUCUCAAAAAUGAAUGUAUCUAAAAUUAAAAUACAUCUAAAUACAUCCAUUUCUGCGACAAGUAUUUCCGAACGAAGGGAGUAAGAA
rnacentral:pre_miRNA from 1 species